AACGAACGCUGGCGGCGUGCUUAACACAUGCAAGUCGAGCGAGAAAGGGGGGGCAACCCCCUGAGUAGAGCGGCGCACGGGUGAGUAACGCGUGGGUAACCUACCCCCAGGCGGGGGAUAACUACUCGAAAGGGUGGCUAAUACCGCAUGAGACCACGGGAUCUUCGGAUCCUGAGGCUAAAGAUCGCACCGGCUUGCCGGUGCUGUCACCAGGGGAUGGGCCCGCGUCCGAUUAGCUAGUUGGCGAGGUAAUGGCUCACCAAGGCUCCGAUCGGUAGCUGGUCUGAGAGGAUGAUCAGCCACACUGGAACUGAAACACGGUCCAGACUCCUACGGGAGGCAGCAGUGAGGAAUAUUGCGCAAUGGGGGAAACCCUGACGCAGCAACGCCGCGUGGGUGAAGAAGGCCUUCGGGUCGUAAAGCCCUUUCGGACGGGACGAACGCUCCGCGGUGACAAGCCGCGGAGUCUGACGGUACCGUAGGAAGAAGCACCGGCUAACUCCGUGCCAGCAGCCGCGGUAAUACGGAGGGUGCGAGCGUUGUUCGGAAUUACUGGGCGUAAAGCGCGUGUAGGCGGCCUUGCAAGUCAGGCGUGAAAGCCCUCGGCUUAACCGGGGAAGUGCGUCUGAAACUGCUUGGCUUGAGUACGGGAGAGGGAGGCGGAAUUCCCAGUGUAGAGGUGAAAUUCGUAGAUAUUGGGAGGAACACCGGUGGCGAAAGCGGCCUCCUGGACCGAUACUGACGCUGAGACGCGAAAGCGUGGGGAGCAAACAGGAUUAGAUACCCUGGUAGUCCACGCGGUAAACGAUGGGCACUAGGUGUGGGGGGUAUCCACUCCUCCCGUGCCGAAGCUAACGCAUUAAGUGCCCCGCCUGGGGAGUACGGCC
rnacentral:rRNA from 1 species